GGCCCUACGGGGUCAGCGGCAGACGGGUGAGUCACGCGUGGGAACGUACCAUUUGCUACGGAAUAACUCAGGGAAACUUGUGCUAAUACCGUAUGAGCCCCCCUUUAAAAUUUCAGGAAUCAUAAAAUGCCCUGGCAUUUUAUGGGGGGGAAAGAUUUAUCGGCAAAUGAUCGGCCCGCGUUGGAUUAGCUAGUUGGUGGGGUAAAGGCCUACCAAGGCGACGAUCCAUAGCUGGUCUGAGAGGAUGAUCAGCCACACUGGGACUGAGACACGGCCCAGACUCCUACGGGAGGCAGCAGUGGGGAAUAUUGGACAAUGGGCGCAAGCCUGAUCCAGCCAUGCCGCGUGAGUGAUGAAGGCCCUAGGGUUGUAAAGCUCUUUCACCGGUGAAGAUAAUGAC
rnacentral:rRNA from 2 species